rnacentral:tRNA from 1 species
GAGGGUAUAGCUCAGUGGCAGAGCAUGUGCUUAGCAUGCAUGAGGUCCUGGGUUCAAUCCUCAGUACCUUCA